rnacentral:lncRNA from 1 species
AGUAAAGUCCAUCUCCAACAAUUAAAAUACUUUGGACAUGUUAUGAGAGCCAACAUAGAAAACAUGGAAAGACUCAUUAUACAAGGAAAGGUGGAAUGCCGAAGAUCACGAGAAAGAUCCCCAGCAAGAUGGAUCGAUCAGAUAACAGGAAUAUGCAAAAGACCUAUGCAUGAGUUAAAAGAAAUGACCAGAGAUAGAGAUCUUUGGAGACGAACAAUACACGACAUCACGUCGACCACUACACUCCCUCCGGGGGGUCAGGGUUAAAGAGAGAGAGAGGGAGGGUCUUUAAAUUUUUAAAUUCAGUCCAAUACUUUAUUUUACUUAUUUAGAAAAAAAACUAUUAACUUUUGGGAAAAAUGACACGAGACCUUUUUUAUUUAGAAUAUCCCAGAAAAUAUAAAAAAACAUCUCGAAGGAAAAUAGGAGAUUGUUAAAAUAGAGCGUGCCGCACUGGCAAAAAAAUCGGAUGGAUACGCAUAAUUGACAACUAAAGAACAACGGCCUACAUUAAAGCGAAUUUGUUAUGGUUUAUUUUGAAAAGGCUUUCAAAUAUCCCAGGCUAAUUAUGGAUAACUACGAGUACCAUAUGCAUCGCCAAGAACCGAAUAGAAAUAGAACAAGAUGGAGGUGUCGUUGGGAAAAACAAUUGCAGUGCAAAGCUACCUUGUAUACCUCUGGAAGCACUAUAUAUGUUUAUUAUAGUCAUAAUCAUGACACUGCCCAGGUCAAUUGUGAGAGUGCUACUACACAGAUGUUUCAUGUAAUACGGCACUAAGAAAGGAAAUCCAAAUGAAAUAAAACUCAGAACUUUACACAUGAUAUUAACAAUAAAGUGAUUUUUUAAUAGCAACAAUGUAUAAUUUCACUAUACAGUAUGGUGUAAAUGAAAGGAAUAAAUUCAUUAUUUCAUAAACCGACGACUUGCGAAAAAAUCCCCAAACUGUUUGAUUUUAAUUUUUAAAUUGUCAUUUUUGACAUAUAAUCAUACUAGUGACGUCAUGCGUCUGGGUAGUGAUGGCGUAAUCGAUGAUUUUUUUUUAAAUAGCGGCCAUGUCCUAGACUAUUGGAAAGGUUAUUCAAUUCUCUAUUUAGUAAUAUAAACAUUAACAUAAUUAUUUAUACAGGGUGUCCAAAGAUUUUUUUUGAAUUAAAUUAAUUGACAAAAUAGCAGAAUGUACGUAAUUUAUUUAACCCGGGAACAUUCGCGCUCUAUUCUGUCACGUAAUCGGUCGGGCGUUAGAUUUUGUCUAACAAUACCAAUUUAGAUGCGAAUUUACAACAAAUCUGUAUGUUAUAGUAUUUUUAUUUACUUGUAAUGUUAGAAAUAUUAUUUCUAACAAUUAUUAAAGCAAAUUUUUUCUCACCAAUGCCA